GUCAAUAACGAUUGAUUCAUUAAUAUUUUUGAGCGCGCAGGAGAAAAAAGAUUCAUAUGAAGCAUGCUAUUGAGACUUCGAAUCACUUAAAAGUGACUUUAAAGGUAUGUUUUUCUGAAUAUUAUUUUCCAUUCAUAUUAAUUUUAUUUAUAUUGUUAAGUCAAAAAUUCCUAAUCUUUACACUAUUUCUUGACAAUUGUAUCCCAACAAAAAUACGGACUCUUUAGCUUUGGUAUCAUUAUAGCCUUGUUAGAGUUUAAAAAUAGAUUAUUGAGUACAAUUGGAGUAAUUUAUUUAAUAAACUUAUUGAAUGAGUAAUGAAAGAUAACCUUUUCGUUCCUAGGUGUGCACUUUAGUGUGAAUGCUUGCUUUUAUUAUCGAACUAAAUAAGUCCUACUUUUUAAUGUACUAACUCCUUUAAAUAAGUAAUGCUAACCAAUUCUUUUUAUUGAUGUAACUCCUUUAAUUAACUGGUUAGCAGUACUUAUGUUAGUAAAUCUAUUUAGGUUAGAAAAAAAUAUAAAAGCACCUAAUAAUGAACAUAACUUACUAUAACUAUAAAUUGCGAGUUUGAUUCUCGGCUUAAUUUUUCAAGUCAAAUUAUGAUAUUUAAUGUUUUUGGUGUAUGCACUAGAUUAAUGUGAUCUUUAUUUUUAUACCGUUCUUAAAUUUUUCUUUUUUCUUUUUAUAUUUUUGAUGUGUGAAAUUUUUGUUUCAUGAUCGAAAAAUCUUAGAAUUGAACCUAUUAUAUUUUUAAAAUUCUCAGUUGAUCAUAUCUAAUCUUUAUUGAAACUUCAGAAAAGUUUUUCUUAUAAAAAAUUAUAUCUCAUGAGGAAACAACUCAUCUAUAUGAAUCCGGCACUGAAUGGGGUAAGUCUCUUAACAAACCAAAUUUCUUUCAUGUAUUUUUUUUUAACUUUCAUACUUUGCCAUCAUUUUUUUAUCUACUAAACUGUGAUCAUUAGUGUACGCAUCAUCUUUCUAUUUACAGUCUACUUAAAUCCAUGUUUAUGACCAACAUGGAUUGUAAUGCAGUGAUGAGACUGUUCCACCCUUAAACAAAGGUCUUGAGUUCGAGCCCUGAGUAUGGAGAAAAUUCUAUUAGGAGCGCCAAUCCCAGAAUGAGCCCUGCAGUGCGUGAUCUGAAUUAGUCGAAACUUCAAUCGAAAUAUCGAACAUCAGGUGAAAAAAAAAAUCUAUGUUUAUGCUCUAUCUCAAGCUGUGCAAUGUAAUUAUAGAAAGAAAAAAAUAAUCAUAUAAAUUCUAAGAAAUAAGAGAAAAGACAUAACGUAAAGAAAAUUGGUAGUUUCAACAUGUGCAAAUAUUUGUGAAAAAAAUAAUUUAUUUUCUUUUUCAUUAUCUCCUUAAGUCUUUUUGUUUUCCUCAUUAAAAGUUGUGGAAUAUAACUUUGAAACGUGAAUGAUUAAUUUAAAACACCACAAAAAGUACUAUUUCGAAAUGGACUCUACUCAGUGCUAGGGUAUAAGGUUAAUUUUUUUGAUUUAUUAAUCAUGUAUUUUGUAAUAUCGUAGAUUUUAUGUGUAAUUUAAUUUUAAGAUUAUUGCAUGCUCAUGAUAUAUUGAUUUUCAGAAAUUUGUGUUUUUUUUUAUAUAGGUGCAAUUGAUAGAAGGGUUUGAAGGCCACAUAUUAGGGUAGAAGGUUAAAUUUCUUUUGAUUUAUGAAUCGUGUUUUUUGUUGCCGUAACUUUUAUAUGCAACGUAGUUCUAAUAUCGUUGCAUGCCUGUAGUAUAUAGAAGGUUAAACUACGGAUUAGGAUAGAAGGUUAGUAAGUAGUUAUACUUUGACUUGAUUAUCGGUAGAUUUAAACUUGAAAGGAGUC
rnacentral:lncRNA from 1 species